AGGGUUUGAUCCUGGCUCAGAACGAACGCUGGCGGCGUGGAUUAGGUAUGCAAGUCGAACGGGAACCUUACAACUGAUCCUUCGGGUGAAGAUGUAUGGGGAACGUGGCGAACGGGUGAGUAAUGGAUAGAUAACCUGCCCUUAACACCGGGAUAAUCCAUCGAAAGGUGGGGUAAUACCGGAUGGUAUAAUUUCUUUUCGGAGUUAUUAUUAAAGGUGGCUUCGGCUUCCGGUUAAGGAGGGGUCUAUCUCCUAUUAGCUUGUUGGUGAGGUAACGGCUCACCAAGGCCGAGAUGGGUAGGGGGCCUUAGCGGGUGAUCCCCCACACUGGGACUGAGACACUGCCCAGGUUCCUACGGGAGGCUGCAAUCGAGAAUCCUCCGCAAUGGGCGAAAGCCUGACGGGGUAACGCCGCGUGACUGAUGAAGGCCCUUACGGGUCGUAAAAGUCUUACAGGGAAUACGAAAGAUAUUAUGGCUAAUAUCUAUAAUAUUUGACAUUAAUCCCAGAUGAAGUCACGGCUAAAUAUGUGCCAGCAGCCGCGGUAAGUCAUAUGUGGCAAGCGUUGUUCGGAAUCACUGGGCAUAAAGCGCACGUAGGCGGUGAAGUAAGUUAACUGUGAAAUCCCCCGGCUUAACUGGGGAAUUGCAGUUAAUACUGCUUUACUAGAGUACAGGAGGGGAGAGUGGAAUUCUAGGUGUAGCGGUGGAAUGCGAAGAUAUCUAGGAGAAGGCCGGUGGCGAAAGCGACUCUCUAGCCUGUAACUGACGCUGAGGUGCGAAAGCGUAGGUAGCGAACGGGAUUAGAUACCCCGGUAGUCUACGCCGUAAACGAUGGGCACUAGAUGGUGGGAGCGCCGAUAGUUCUCUCCGUCGUAGCUAAUGCAUUAAGUGCCCCGCCUGGGGAGUAUGGCCGCAAGGUUAAAACUCAAAGGAAUUGACGGGGGCCCACACAAGCGGUGGAGGAUGUGGCUUAAUUCGAGGAUACGCGUAGAACCUUAUCCAGGUCUUGACAUUCCGGGAUUAACCUGUUGAAAGACAGGGGAUUGCUUUACGGUGUAACCGGAACAGGUGCUGCAUGGCUGUCGUCAGCUCGUGUCGUGAGAUGCUAGGUUAAGUCCUGUAACGAGCGAAACCCCUGUGCUUAGUUGCCAGCGCGUUAUGGCGGGAACUCUAAGCAGACUGCCCCGGCCAACGGGGAGGAAGGUGGGGAUUACGUCAAGUCAGCAUGGCCCUUAUGACCUGGGCUGCACACGUCCUACAAUGGGCAGUACAAUGAGUACCGAUACCGCGAGGUGGAGGAAAACUUAAAAGCUGCUCUCAGUUCAGAUUGCAGGCUGAAACUCGUCUGCAUGAAGAUGGAAUCGCUAGUAAUCGCCGGUCAGCAUACGGCGGUGAAUACGUCCCUGGGCCUUGUACACACCGCCCGUCAAGCCACCCGAGUUGGGUAUACCCGAAAUCCGAGAUCUAACCGUAAGGAGGACUCGGCUGAAGGUAGAUCCGAUAAGGUGGACUAAGUCGUAACAAGGUA
rnacentral:rRNA from 1 species